UACGUAGGAGGCGAGCGUUGUCCGGAGUUACUGGGCGUAAAGGGUGCGUAGGCGGCUGCGCGCGUGGAGGGUGAAAUCUCUCGGCUUACCCGGGAGGGGGCUUUCCAGACGGCGUGGCUUGAGGGACGGAGAGGGGCGUGGAAUUCCGGGUGGAGCGGUGAAAUGCGCAGAUAUCGGGAAGAACACCCGUGGCGAAGGCGGCUCUCUGGGACGGUACUGACGCUGAGACGGCGAAAAGCGUGGGGAGCAACAG
rnacentral:rRNA from 1 species